rnacentral:rRNA from 1 species
GAUGAACGCUAGCUACAGGCUUAACACAUGCAAGUCGAGGGACCGGCGCACGGGUGAGUAACACGUAUCCAACCUGCCCUUUACUCGGGGCUAGCCUUUCGAAAGAAAGAUUAAUACCCGAUGUAAAGGAUGGGGAUGCGUUCCAUUGGGUUGUUGGUGAGGUAACGGCUAACCAAGCCUUCGAUGGCUAGUGGUUCUGAGAGGAAGGUCCACCACAUUGGAACGGAGAACCGGUCCAAACUCCUACGGGAGGCAGCAGUGAGGAAUAUUGGUCAAUGGGCGUUAGCCUGAACCAGCCAAGUGGCGUGAAGGAUGAAGGCUUAUGGGUCGUAAACUUCUUUGAUAGAAGAAGAGGUAUUAUAUGAAUAAGGAUCGGCUAACUCCGUGCCAGCCGCCGCGGUAAUUC